UAGGGAAUCUUCGGCAAUGGACGGAAGUCUGACCGAGCAACGCCGCGUGAGUGAAGAAGGUUUUUCGGAUCGUAAAGCUCUGUUGUAAGAGAAGAACGAGUGUGAGAGCGGAAAGUUCACACUGUGACGGUAUCUUACCAGAAAGGGACGGCUAACUACGUGCCAGCAGCCGCGGUAAUACGUAGGUCCCGAGCGUUGUCCGGAUUUAUUGGGCGUAAAGCGAGCGCAGGCGGUUAGAUAAGUCUGAAGUUAAAGGCUGUGGCUUAACCAUAGUACGCUUUGGAAACUGUUUAACUUGAGUGCAAGAGGGGAGAGUGGAAUUCCAUGUGUAGCGGUGAAAUGCGUAGAUAUAUGGAGGAACACCGGUGGCGAAAGCGGCUCUCUGGCUUGUAACUGACGCUGAGGCUCGAAAGCGUGGGGAGCAAACAGGAUUAGAUACCCUGGUAGUCCACGCCGUAAACGAUGAGUGCUAGGUGUUAGACCCUUUCCGGGGUUUAGUGCCGUAGCUAACGCAUUAAGCACUCCGCCUGGGGAGUACGACCGCAAGGUUG
rnacentral:rRNA from 1 species